rnacentral:lncRNA from 1 species
AUUUUGUUUCCCCCUAUAAACCCAGUGUGAGUGGCAACUGCUGUAAUUAGGGAGCACAGCCCCCCCCAAGGCUUUCCCUCUACAUUCUGCAUUUCCAUAUUGUCUACUUAGCAGGGUUCUUGGCCCUUCGAUUAUACUUGUGCUAGUUUCAAAAGUCAGCUGGUCCUGACACAGCUCUGCCACAGUCCAGCCAUCACCUGUGCCAUUUCAGUUCUCAUGACAUCACAGGAGCCCAACCCUGGACAUCACAAGAGAUUAACCUUUGGCCUCAGGUUUUGACCCUGAAAACCUCAGGAACCAGGAUGGUACUAUGGAUGUUGAGUGAUAAAAGUAAUUUUGGCUAGGACUUACUGGGUUUAAAUUCUACCAUCAGCAGGUAUGGAGUGUGGCUGUUAUACAGGUUAAUGGGUUUUUUCCCAUUCCAUACUUGUUUAUUUUGUGGCACCUUGACUGUAAGCAGAAGUCAGUAUUCUGUGGCCAGGAGUGGGAGUUAACCUGCUAAAUAGACAGAAGUCAGUAUUCUGUAAGCAGAAGUCAGUAUUCUGUGACCAGGAGUGGGAGUUAACCUGCUAAAUAGAUCCUACUGCCAUUUUGAAACAGCAGUAACAGUGAUGGGGCAGAGACCCAGCUGGGGAUGUGUGAAAUCUGGAUUAUAGGAUAGUUGAAUGACAGGAUUUGAAGGACUGGAUGGCAGGAAUCUGGGAAGUGAAGAGCACUCUACCUUUGGAGGUGAGCAGUGAGGACUGUGCAUGGCAAAUUGUUGAAAUUUGGGGACAAGCACCAAGAAACGACCGUCAUGAAAAGUAUCUGCACAUUUGAGAAAUCUCUCCAUUGAAGUUAGUUCAAGGAUCAAACUGCAUAAGGACCAUUAUCAGAGAGCUGCUGCUGCUUCUCCUCCUCCUUCUACCUUGUAAUCAUCAUCAUCUUAGAACUUCACAGUGAGAAGUCCAGCCCCUGUCAAGGAGGCACUGUGGGGAACUGAACUCCCAACCUCUGGCUCCGUAGUCAGAUAACUAAGCCACUCAACUAUCCAGCACUCAGUACAUGCUGAGAAGGACUGAGCUAGCACUAGCUGACCAGCAAAGAAAUCAGGAGAUUGGCGUGGAUACCUGAAG